AGUAUUAUUUUCAAUUUUCAGGUCAAGAUCCAAAAGGUUCAGGAAAUGAAUGAAAGAGCUACUUGCAGACUGACACUAAACCCGUGCAAUCAGAUCACUGUACCUCCAAGGAGCUUCUUGGUAGAAUAAUGUGUUGACAUCUCCCUGGAGUCUUGGACCACCAGAGAAGAGAAUUUGGGAUGCUGUCCAUGGCCAGCAUUCAGGACUCAAUACCUCGAUGGUGAACAGCUCUGUUAGUCCCCAUCUCUCCACACCUCCCUGACAACUGGAGGAUAAGAUGGAUGAGUGUGUCAACAAAGAUUAAGCUGACCACAUACUGGUUUGCCAGAAAAGAUCCUUAUUUACUUCUUUAUCCCAGCACAAUUGUUAAUACUUUCACAUACAAAAUUGUUCUGAUUUGAGUGAUCAAAUUCUAUUGUUACCCCAUAUUUAAUGUUCUCUAUCUCAUGGAAGUGGACCUGUAAUGUCACACCCAGUGUCCAAAAGACCCAGAAAGUCUCAAAUAAAAAGUUGCCAAGCUCUGUGUCAAAGGAAGACCCAGUACAUACUUAGAAAU
ensembl:lncRNA